AACGGGGAGAAUUCAGUCCUGUGUUUCUGAAGAAAAGUAAAAGGAGACUGAUGUAACUCAGGAGUAGCAUCUCCAGGCCCAAAUCAAGAUUGGGGCUUUCCUGUGCUAGGCACUGUACAUACACAGGAAGAGACAGCCUAUGUCCUGGAGAGCUGAGAAUCUAACUAGGAUGCAGCUGAGAUCAGGGCUCAGUUUUGCUAGGUGUUGCACAAAGUAAUGAGAGAGAGGAGUCUUAGCCUGGAGGAACUUAAAUGUAAGUACACAAGACCAAGUGUGUGAAAAAAGGCUGGCGUGAAGGGGUGAAGUUGCCUGCCCAAGGUCACACAGCACAGAGGAGCAGAGGCCACAUCAUGAAAACCCAGGCCUCCCUGCUUCAAACAGACAUAUAGUACUCUUGCUCUUAUCCCUUCCUGCUUUCUGUACUUGCCCAAGAGCUGACAAAUCUCUUCUGAAGCCCUUGGGUCCAUCCAGCAGUAUGUGACGAGACAGAGGCCAGUUCUUGGAGUACCAUGAUCCAUUCCAGGCAUCAGUCUCUAAUCACCAUCAUUCUCCAAGGUUUAAAAUGGAAAUAAAAGAGA